CAUGCAAGUCGUACGCACUGGCCCAACUAAUUGAUGGUGCUUGCUGAAUUGACGAUGGAUCACCAGUGAGUGGCGGACGGGUGAGUAACACGUAGGUAACCUGCCCCGGAGCGGGGAAUAACAUUUGGAAACAGAUGCUAAUACCGCAUAACAACAAAAGCCGCAUGGUUUUUCUGGAAAGAUGGCUUUGGCUAUCACUCUGGGAUGGACCUGCGGUGCAUUUAGCUAGUUGGUAAGGUAACGGCUUACCCAAGGCGAUGAUGCAUAGCCGAGUUGAGAGACUGAUCGGCCACAAUGGGAACUGAGACACGGUCCAUAACUUCUACGGGAGGCAGCAGUAGGGAAUCUUCCACAAUGGGCGCAAGCUGAUGGAGCAACACCGCGUUAUUAAGAAAGGGUUUCGGCCGCUUAAACUCUGUUGUUGGAGAAGAACGUGCGUUAGAGUAACUGUUACGCAGUGACGGUAUCCAACCAGAAAGUCACGGCUAACUACGUGCCAGCAGCCGCGGUAAUACGUAGGUGGCAAGCGUUAUCCGGAUUUAUUGGGCGUAAAGCGAGCGCAGGCGGUUGCUUAGGUCUGAUGUGGAAACUCGGCUUAACCGAAGAAGUGCAUCGGAAACCGGGCGACUUGAGUGCAGAAGAGGACAGUGGAACUCCAUGUGUAGCGGUGGAAUGCGUAGAUAUAUGGAAGAACACCAGUGGCGAAGGCGGCUGUCUG
rnacentral:rRNA from 1 species